rnacentral:lncRNA from 1 species
CGCGAGCUGGUUCUUAAAACUUUGCUCAGAAGUGAAACACUUCGGAGAGUUCUCGUCAAGAUGGCGCUGUGAGCAGACGUUGAACUCGCCUCCUCCCACGAACACAACCAGGUUACAACAAUUUUGGGAAGAAUCACCCUGGAUUGAAAACUGAAAACUGGAUAAAAAGAACCCCCACGACAAGGGACAGUCCUGACGAAAGCAGAAGAGGCAGUACCUCCGGCCGGAGAGGAAAAAAGCCACCUUUGGGAGCAGUGGAGCUUCUCAACUGGCCAGGCAGGAGCCAACCUAAGAUUCUGCAAGUUUUGAGAAAUGUAUGAUGACAUGUAUCCACCAUAACUUAAACAACAGAAAUUUAUUUUCUCAUUGUUCUGGAGGCUGGAAGUCUGAGGUCAGGGUGCCAGCACAGUCAGCUUCUGAAUGUCUAGUACAGUGCAUGGCACAUGAUAGAAGGAGAGCUCUUAAUGCCAGGUGGGAAAACAAAGCUAUGUAUAAACUUCUCCCACUGGCCCAGCAGUGACAGGCUCAGCUCACGAGGCCACGGAAGAAACACAUUCUGUGAGGUUGCCAUCAGCAGAAAAGCUUCCAAACUGCCUUUCCUCAAUCGAUGUUUGAAUGCACUCAAGGCGGCUUUACCCACAGCACUGCUCAAACAAUUCCAUGAUAACAUUCAUUUAUCAUCUUG